CAGAGUUGCAAAACUCCCACAAACCAUCGCGAAUCUUACCCGUACGGUUGCCUCGGCGCUGGCGGUCCGGAAGGCCCUCGGGCCCCCCGGAUCCUCGGGUCCCCCGCUCGCGGGAGGCUGCCCGCCGGAGUGCCGAAACCAAACUCUUGAUAUUUUAUGUCUCUCUGAGUAAACUUUUAAAUAAGUCA
rnacentral:misc_RNA from 1 species